GAUGAACGCUGGCGGCGUGCCUAAUACAUGCAAGUCGAGCGAAUGGAUUAAGAGCUUGCUCUUAUGAAGUUAGCGGCGGACGGGUGAGUAACACGUGGGUAACCUGCCCAUAAGACUGGAUAACUCCGGGAAACCGGGGCUAAUACCGGAUAACAUUUUGAACCGCAUGGUUCGAAAUUGAAAGGCGGCUUCGGCUGUCACUUAUGGAUGGACCCGCGUCGCAUUAGCUAGUUGGUGAGGUAACGGCUCACCAAGGCAACGAUGCGGAGCCGACCUGAGAGGGUGAUCGGCCACACUGGGACUGAGACACGGCCCAGACUCCUACGGGAGGCAGCAGUAGGGAAUCUUCCGCAAUGGACGAAAGUCUGACGGAGCAACGCCGCGUGAGUGAUGAAGGCUUUCGGGUCGUAAAACUCUGUUGUAGGGAAGAACAAGUGCUAGUUGAAUAAGCUGACACCUUGACGGUACCUAACCAGAAAGCCACGGCUAACUACGUGCCAGCAGCCGCGGUAA
rnacentral:rRNA from 1 species